GGUUAAGCGACUAAGCGUACACGGUGGAUGCCCUGGCAGUCAGAGGCGAUGAAGGACGUGCUAAUCUGCGAUAAGCGCCGGUAAGGUGAUAUGAACCGUUAUAACCGGCGAUUUCCGAAUGGGGAAACCCAGUGUGAUUCGUCACACUAUCAUUAACUGAAUCCAUAGGUUAAUGAGGCGAACCGGGGGAACUGAAACAUCUAAGUACCCCGAGGAAAAGAAAUCAACCGAGAUUCCCCCAGUAGCGGCGAGCGAACGGGGAGGAGCCCAGAGCCUGAAUCAGCAUGUGUGUUAGUGGAAGCGUCUGGAAAGGUGCGCGAUACAGGGUGACAGCCCCGUACACAAAAGCGCAUGUGCUGUGAGCUCGAUGAGUAGGGCGGGACACGUGGUAUCCUGUCUGAAUAUGGGGGGACCAUCCUCCAAGGCUAAAUACUCCUGACUGACCGAUAGUGAACCAGUACCGUGAGGGAAAGGCGAAAAGAACCCCGGCGAGGGGAGUGAAAAAGAACCUGAAACCGUGUACGUACAAGCAGUGGGAGCACAGGUUUACCUGUGUGACUGCGUACCUUUUGUAUAAUGGGUCAGCGACUUAUAUUCUGUAGCAAGGUUAACCGAAUAGGGGAGCCGGAGGGAAACCGAGUCUUAAUUGGGCGUUAAGUUGCAGGGUAUAGACCCGAAACCCGGUGAUCUAGCCAUGGGCAGGUUGAAGGUUGGGUAACACUAACUGGAGGACCGAACCGACUAAUGUUGAAAAAUUAGCGGAUGACCUGUGGCUGGGGGUGAAAGGCCAAUCAAACCGGGAGAUAGCUGGUUCUCCCCGAAAGCUAUUUAGGUAGCGCCUCGUGAAUUCAUCUCCGGGGGUAGAGCACUGUUUCGGCUAGGGGGCCAUCCCGGCUUACCAACCCGAUGCAAACUGCGAAUACCGGAGAAUGUUAUCACGGGAGACACACGGCGGGUGCUAACGUCCGUCGUGAAGAGGGAAACAACCCAGACCGCCAGCUAAGGUCCCAAAGUCAUGGUUAAGUGGGAAACGAUGUGGGAAGGCCCAGACAGCCAGGAUGUUGGCUUAGAAGCAGCCAUCAUUUAAAGAAAGCGUAAUAGCUCACUGGUCGAGUCGGCCUGCGCGGAAGAUGUAACGGGGCUAAACCAUGCACCGAAGCUGCGGCAGCGACGCUGAUGCGUUGUUGGGUAGGGGAGCGUUCUGUAAGCCUGCGAAGGUGACCUGUGAGGGUUGCUGGAGGUAUCAGAAGUGCGAAUGCUGACAUAAGUAACGAUAAAGCGGGUGAAAAGCCCGCUCGCCGGAAGACCAAGGGUUCCUGUCCAACGUUAAUCGGGGCAGGGUGAGUCGACCCCUAAGGCGAGGCCGAAAGGCGUAGUCGAUGGGAAACGGGUUAAUAUUCCCGUACUUGGUGUUACUGCGAAGGGGGGACGGAGAAGGCUAUGUUGGCCGGGCGACGGUUGUCCCGGUUUAAGCGUGUAGGUGUGUGUUCCAGGUAAAUCCGGUUCACUUUAACACUGAGGCGUGACGACGAGGCACUACGGUGCUGAAGCAACAAAUGCCCUGCUUCCAGGAAAAGCCUCUAAGCAUCAGGUAACAUCAAAUCGUACCCCAAACCGACACAGGUGGUCAGGUAGAGAAUACCAAGGCGCUUGAGAGAACUCGGGUGAAGGAACUAGGCAAAAUGGUGCCGUAACUUCGGGAGAAGGCACGCUGACACGUAGGUGAAGUGAUUUACUCAUGGAGCUGAAGUCAGUCGAAGAUACCAGCUGGCUGCAACUGUUUAUUAAAAACACAGCACUGUGCAAACACGAAAGUGGACGUAUACGGUGUGACGCCUGCCCGGUGCCGGAAGGUUAAUUGAUGGGGUCAGCGCAAGCGAAGCUCCUGAUCGAAGCCCCGGUAAACGGCGGCCGUAACUAUAACGGUCCUAAGGUAGCGAAAUUCCUUGUCGGGUAAGUUCCGACCUGCACGAAUGGCGUAAUGAUGGCCAGGCUGUCUCCACCCGAGACUCAGUGAAAUUGAACUCGCUGUGAAGAUGCAGUGUACCCGCGGCAAGACGGAAAGACCCCGUGAACCUUUACUAUAGCUUGACACUGAACAUUGAGCCUUGAUGUGUAGGAUAGGUGGGAGGCUUUGAAGUGUGGACGCCAGUCUGCAUGGAGCCGACCUUGAAAUACCACCCUUUAAUGUUUGAUGUUCUAACGUGGACCCGUAAUCCGGGUUGCGGACAGUGUCUGGUGGGUAGUUUGACUGGGGCGGUCUCCUCCUAAAGAGUAACGGAGGAGCACGAAGGUUGGCUAAUCCUGGUCGGACAUCAGGAGGUUAGUGCAAUGGCAUAAGCCAGCUUGACUGCGAGCGUGACGGCGCGAGCAGGUGCGAAAGCAGGUCAUAGUGAUCCGGUGGUUCUGAAUGGAAGGGCCAUCGCUCAACGGAUAAAAGGUACUCCGGGGAUAACAGGCUGAUACCGCCCAAGAGUUCAUAUCGACGGCGGUGUUUGGCACCUCGAUGUCGGCUCAUCACAUCCUGGGGCUGAAGUAGGUCCCAAGGGUAUGGCUGUUCGCCAUUUAAAGUGGUACGCGAGCUGGGUUUAGAACGUCGUGAGACAGUUCGGUCCCUAUCUGCCGUGGGCGCUGGAGAACUGAGGGGGGCUGCUCCUAGUACGAGAGGACCGGAGUGGACGCAUCACUGGUGUUCGGGUUGUCAUGCCAAUGGCACUGCCCGGUAGCUAAAUGCGGAAGAGAUAAGUGCUGAAAGCAUCUAAGCACGAAACUUGCCCCGAGAUGAGUUCUCCCUGAGACUUAGAGUCUCCUGAAGGAACGUUGAAGACGACGACGUUGAUAGGCCGGGUGUGUAAGCGCAGCGAUGCGUUGAGCUAACCGGUACUAAUGAACCGUGAGGCUUAACCUU
rnacentral:rRNA from 1 species